rnacentral:rRNA from 1 species
CCUACGGGAGGCUGCAGUGAGGAAUAUUGGUCAAUGGACGAGAGUCUGAACCAGCCAAGUAGCGUGAAGGAUGACUGCCCUAUGGGUUGUAAACUUCUUUUAUAUGGGAAUAAAAUGUUCCACGUGUGGGAUUUUGUAUGUACCAUAUGAAUAAGGAUCGGCUAACUCCGUGCCAGCAGCCGCGGUAAUACGGAGGAUCCGAGCGUUAUCCGGAUUUAUUGGGUUUAAAGGGAGCGUAGGUGGAUUGUUAAGUCAGUUGUGAAAGUUUGCGGCUCAACCGUAAAAUUGCAGUUGAAACUGGCAGUCUGGAGUACAGUAGAGGUGGGCGGAAUUCGUGGUGUAGCGGUGAAAUGCUUAGAUAUCACGAAGAACUCCGAUUGCGAAGGCAGCUCACUGGACUGCAACUGACACUGAGGCUCGAAAGUGUGGGUAUCAAACAGGAUUAGAGACCCCAGUAGUC